GAAAUGCGAUAAGUAAUGUGAAUUGCAGAAUUCAGUGAAUCAUCGAAUCUUUGAACGCAUCUUGCGCUCCUUGGUAUUCCUUGGAGCAUGCCUGUUUGAGUAUCGUGAAAUCUUCAAAGUAAAUCUUUUGUUAACUCAAUUGGUUUCUACUUUGGUAUUGGAGGUCUUUGCAGCUUCACACCUGCUCCUCUUUGUUCAUUAGCUGGAUCUCAGUGUUAUGCUUGGUUCCACUCGGCGUGAUAAGUUAUCUAUCGCUGAGGACACUGUAAAAGGUGGCCAAGGUAAAUGCAGAUGAACCGCUUCUAAUAGUCCAUUGACUUGGACAAUACUUUUAUGAUCUGAUCUCAAAUCAGGUAGGACUACCCGCUGAACUUAAGC
rnacentral:misc_RNA from 1 species